GAAUCCCGUCUUUGACAUGGACUGCCAGAGCUCAACAGGUGCGCUCUCGAAGAGUCGAGUUGUUUGGGAAUGCAGCUCAAAAUGGGUGGUAAAUGCCAUCUAAAGCUAAAUAUUGGCGAGAGACCGAUAGCGAACAAGUACCGUGAGGGAAAGAUGAAAAGAACUUUGGAAAGAGAGUUAAACAGUACGUGAAAUUGCUGAAAGGGAAACGCUUGAAGUCAGUCACAUCGUCUGGAAAUCAACCUCGCUCUUGCUGGGUGUACUUUCCGUCCGAUGGGUCAGCAUCAGUUUCGGCUGCUGGACAAGGUCUUUGGGAACGUGGCAUCUCAGGAUGUGUUAUAGCCCUUGGGCAGAUGCAGUGGCCGGGACUGAGGAACUCGGCGUGCCGCGAGGCUGGGACGCUUGUCGUCCACACCAACGCGCCUAGGAUGCUGGCAUAAUGGCUUUAAUCGACCCGUCUUGAAACACGGACCAAGGAGUCUAACAUGCCUGCGAGUGUUUGGGUGGAAAACCCAUGCGCGCAAUGAAAGUGAAGGUUGAGAUCCCUGUCGUGGGGAGCAUCGACGCCCAGACCAGACCUUCUGUGACGGCUCUGCGGUAGAGCAUGCAUGUUGGGACCCGAAAGAUGGUGAACUAUGCCUGAAUAGGGUGAAGCCAGAGGAAACUCUGGUGGAGGCUCGUAGCGAUUCUGACGUGCAAAUCGAUCGUCAAAUUUGGGUAUAGGGGCGAAAGACUAAUCGAACCAUCUAGUAGCUGGUUCCUGCC
rnacentral:rRNA from 1 species